UACUGCAUAGAGAACUGUAACACCCCACUGGUCGCACAGAAUGGAUAAUACCAUAAACCUCAUCCACUAAACUUACUCAACACAAGAGAUGUAAUAAAGAAAGAAUAUAAAGCAAGAAAAAAAAAUCCGGCAGCACCUCCUUUGAAAACUAGCAUAACAAGGAGGGGAAACAUGAAGCUCAUACAAGAUAUAAAGACAUAUAAUUCACAUAGUAGAAACUGUAAUGCAAAAGUGGUAAAACCUAAUUAUGACCCAACUGAAGUAAAACAAAUGGGAUAAGAAACUCAGCCCACCCCAAAAUAAACGCUCAACCAAGAACAAAGCAAUUCACUAGACUUGUCCAACUCUGAUUAUCAACAUUAUUAAAUGGUGGUUCCUUUAUUAAAAGUGUAGUGGCCGUGCUGCUACAUCCCCUUUAUUCCCCAAAGCAGAAAUUAGGUGCCUGCAUCAAACAAUGCAAGAUGUGAGAUAACACAUCUCAGCAAGUAAACAUAACAACAACAAGUAGGCCAUUGUAAAUCAACUGUGCUUACACAACCACGUGUUCAGAACUUCUUUCUUUUCUUUUGAACAGUAAAUUGCAGCAAGUAUACAAGAAACUAAAAACUCAACGCCAAGUGGAAUCACCAUGCACAAGUCCAAAUUAUCCACAUCCACAUAAUAGAUUCAACACCUCUCCCAUGAAUGCACAUGGCUACAAAUGCAAUAAUGACUUCUGCCUCCAUAUCUCUAAGGAUAUGAAGCUGCACCAUACCCCUUCUUGGGCAACAUAUGAUGCUCAAUGUACCGGUACGGUCGGACCAUAAGAUCGCGACAAAACUUCAAUGCAAUGGAUGAGGAGUGCAUUAUGCAUGACAACAUCAUAAGUUCUUCCCAAAUAAAAAUGUGCUAGGCAUUUACUUCCAACCAUUCCACAUAAUAACCACUUGAGUAACAUAAUCAAACCUCGAACUCAACAUAUGAAAUCCAUGAAACAUGAACAUUUUCAAAUGAUGGUACUCAAAAGAAAAUAUUAAAUUGAACAUGAUAGCACAACAUAAACAAGUAUAAGACUCCUCAUCUGACAGACGGAAUAACCAUCACAGUUUUACUUGCCUUCACCGAAGUUUGGGCAAAAUCCCUAAGAACGAUCCGGAAGUCCACCACCUGUUUUGACACCCAACUUAGUGCACCAAAUUCACAUAAAAAAACUCAAAGACAACACCGCACCUACGUGCAGUCUCAACCCCGCCGCGGUAACAAUUCUCCCCUCACUAACCAAACUGCAGCGGCGCUGCUUAACAAUUCCAUAACUUAAAAAUUAGGACAGCAGUGGUGUCAAACAAAAACUUCAGAGACAACUACAUAAAAUUUCCCACAAGUUUUAUAUACAACUCAUGAUUAAAUUCUAACAUCUAAUUACCUCUAAACGGUCCACAAAAUAAACCCUGCAAUCUGUUUUUUUCUGAUUUGGGCAGCGACAUACUCGGAUUCAAACAGCGAUAACUUUUAAAAUAUAAUUCCGAUUUGAGCGCAUAAGUACUUGUUGGAAAGAAUAGAAAAAGCCCUACAUGAUUAUCAUACUGAUUAACACUAAUUACUCCCGAAAAAUCCCCAGAAACUGCUAAUACUUCUGCUAUUCAUCACUCUGAAAAAUCUGUUUUUUUUUGGACUGCCACACACCCGGAUUCAAACGAUGAUAACUUUUAAUUUAUAACUCCAAAUUGAGCGCAUAAAUACUCGUUGGAAAGGUAAAACAAAGUUCUACAAGAUCCCCAAAUUGAUCCCCAUUAAUUCUUCACGAAAAAACCCUAAAAACUGCUAGAACUUCCACUGUACACCCACCACGUAAAAUUCUGGACAGCCCCCCUCUAUCUAAUCGCAAACGCAACAUCUAAUCAAUUGAAUCGCAGCGCAAAUGAACAAGGGAUGAACACAAAAAUCACCUUGGGUUCUCCCCCUUUCCUUCCUCCCUUCUUCCCUCCACCAAAACGGUUGGAGAAUCGCACCACGAGACGACGAUCCGAGCGGCAAGGAUUGACACCUUGGGAGGAGGGGAUUGAGGGGGGGGGGGGCGGCUAGGGUUUGGUGGCUGCAAAAAUUGAGAGAGAAGGAGAUGGGCAGGGGGGCGGCGGCCAAGGGGAGGAGGAGAAGUGGGGGGGCGGCUGCACAUGGGGGGGGUUAGGAGGGAGGCGGCUAGGGUUUGGGAGGGUUAAUGGGCCGAAACACCUAUUGCGGCCCAACUAACCCACGCGACAGCUCCCGACCGCAACGCUAGCGUCAAACCAAAUAAAUUCUACUGCCGUAGUUGUGAAUGUUUUCCACAAAAUUCCAAAUCCCCAAAACAACAACCGGAUGAGGAAAAAAAACAAAAAAGAACAACCCCCAACUUCUCUUCUUUGCAAACCGGGUAUCACACCUCUACCCCUCUUAAAAAGAAUUCGACCUCGAAUUCUGACGCUUCUAUCGGAAUGACAAAAGAAAAGAUUAGUGAAUCAACAACACUUACCCACAACGAAAAGUUCCGGGUACUUCUGCCGCAUCAGCUCCUCAAGUUCCCACGUAGCCUCGCGCUCAGACUGAUUAGUCCAUAAGACCUUGACAUACUUAAUUGAUCUCUUCCUCAACACACGCUCCGAGAAUUCCAAUAUACGCACCGGACGACAAUCCAGAGUCAGAUCCUGCUGUACCGCAAUUGGUUCCAUCUCAAUUUGAUGGUCCGGAUCCCGCAAGAACUUCCUCAACAUAGAGACAUGAAAAACCGGGUGUACCCCUGCCAUGGAAUCCGGCAGCAGCAAGCGAUAAGCCAGGCUGCCCACUCGGGCCAAGAUAGUGAACGGUCCAAUGUAUCUCGGGCUGAGCUUCCCAGAGACACCGAACCGAACAACUCCCUUAGUGGGUGAUACCCUGAGAAGGACUUGGUCACCCACAGCAAAUUCCAGAUCCCGCCUCCUCACAUCAGCAUAACUCUUCUGACGACUCUGAGCUGCCAAAAUAUUCUGACGAAUUUCCCGAACCUUUUCAGAAGUUUGCUGAACCCAAUCAGGACCAACCAGGGAUCUCUCUCCCAAAGUCUCCCAGCACAGAGGAGAGAUACACCACCUGCCAUACAAAGCCUCAAAUGGUGCCAUCUUGAUGCUAGCUUGGUAGCUGUUGUUAUACGCAAACUCUGCCAGAGCAAGAUGAUCCUCCCAGCUACCCUUCCAUGACAGAACACAAGCACGCAACAUAUCCUCCAAGGUUUGGAUUGUUCGCUCUGACUGACCAUCCGUCUGAGGGUGAAAAGCGACACUAAGUGAAAGCUUGGUGCCCAAUGCACUAUGGAGACUCUCCCAGAAUUUGGAUACAAAUUUGGAGUCUCGAUCAAAAACAAUAGAAUUAGGUACCCCGUGAAGCCUGACAACUUCCUUCAUAUACAAGGGAACCAAAUCUGAAGCUGAAUUUGUGGUCUUCAUGGGAAUAAAAUGCGCAGACUUAGUCAAGCGAUCCACUACCACCCAAAUAGCAUCCCUGCCACGAGGGGAACGAGGUAGACCCACCACAAAAUCCAUGGUGAUAUGCUCCCAUUUCCACUCUGGAAUUUCCAAUGGCUUCAGCAAACCUGCAGCCGCUUAUGUUCGGCCUUCACGCGCUGACAUACUUCACAGGCGGCCACAUACUUAGAAAUGUCAACCUUCAUCCGCUUCCACCAGAAGUUUUGCUUCAAAUCUUGGUACAUUUUGGUUUCGCCAGGAUGGACAGUGUAAGGCGUUUUAUGAGCUUCUCGUAGGAUAUCCAGCUUCACCUCUGAUUUCUGAGGCACACAAAGAUGGCCCCUGAAACGAACCAAAUCAUUCUCAUCAAUGGUGAACUCCCGCGGUUUACCAUCACCAACCCUUUUUUGAGCUUCCUGCAAAAGACGAUCCUGCAGCUGAGCCGCACGCACUCUCUCCAUAAGAGAGGAUUGAAUAAGCAUCUGAGUCUCCUCGCUAGCGGUGCCGACAUAACACAAAGCGAUCCCCAAACGGUCCAGAUCAGCGACCAACGGCAAGGCCACCUUUGGAACCCCGGACCUGCUAAGGGCAUCCGCCACCACAUUAGCCUUCCCCGGGUGAUAAUGAAUGGACAAAUCAUAGUCUUUAAUCAAUUCUAGCCACCGACGUUGCCUCAAAUUCAGCUCCUUCUGAGUAAAAAUAUACUUGAGACUUUUGUGAUCGGUGAAAAUGUCACAAGCCUCGCCAUAAAGGUAAUGCCUCCACGACUUUAGAGCAAAAACCACCGUAGCCAAUUCCAGAUCAUGAGUUGGAUAAUUCCCCUCAUGCUUCCUCAACUGCCUUGAGCCAUAAGCAAUCACUCUGCCUUCCUGCAUCAGCACACAGCCAAGACCGAUACGCGAAGCAUCCGUAUAAACUGUGAAACGCUUACCGCUCUCAGGCAAAGCUAGGAUAGGGGCGUCCACCAACUUGCUCUUCAAUGACUGAUAACUGACCUCGCAUUCGCCGGACCAGACGAAGGGAACACCCUUCUCCAAGAGCCUAGUCAAAGGCUUAGCAAUGCUGGAAAAAUUUGGUACGAAGCGCCGAUAAUACCCAGCAAGCCCCAAGAAACUUCGGAUUUCAGAGACACUAGAAGGUCUCUUCCACUCCACCACAGCCGCAACAUUCUUGGGAUCAACCGCAAUACCCUGCUGAUUAAUCACGUGCCCCAGGAAAGCCACUUCGGAAAGCCAAAAGGCACACUUCUUCAACUUGCCAUAGAAUUGAUUCUUCCUUAGGGCACCCAGAACGAGACGGAGAUGCUGUUCAUGCUCGGCCUCGGUCUUUGAAUAAAUCAAAAUAUCAUCCAGGAAUACGACCACAAAAUCGUCCAGGAAUUCAUGCAGCAUCCUAUUCAUUGCUUCCAUAAAGGCAGCAGGGGCAUUAGUUAAGCCAAAAGACAUGACCAUGAACUCAUAAUGCCCAUACCUGGUGCAGAAGGAAGUCUUCUCAAUAUCCUCCUCACGAAUCCUCAAUUGAUGAUAACCCGAGUUCAAAUCAAUUUUGGAGAACACCUGGGCACCCCUCAACUGUUCAAAGAGGACCUCAAUUCAGGGAAGCGGAUAUUUAUUCUUGAUUGUCACUUGAUUCAAAGCGCGAUAAUCCACACACAGCCGCUUGCUUUUAUCCUUCUUCUCAACAAACAAUAUUGGGGAAGCCCAUGGAGACCUGCUAGGCCUAAUGAAGCCCUUAGCCAGCAGAUCAUCCAAUUGCCGCUUUAAUUCGAUCUGCUCCUUUGGAGCCAUUCGAUACGGGGCCUUAUGAAUAGGCUGCGUACCCGGGAUCAGCUUAAUCUCAAAAGCUGCAUCGCGCUCCAGAGGAAUGCCUGGAAGCUCUGCCGGAAACACGUCAGCAAAGUCACACACCACCCGGAUGUCCUGCACCCGCAAGGCAGCCUCACCCUCCACCACCAUAGAGAAAAAGAUCCCCGACUUCCUUGACCGGCGAUCAGGAAGCAAUUGCGCCAACAAGGAUAAUGUGAACUUCGGGGAACUUCCCAAGAAUACCACCUCCUUACCCGACGGCGCCUGCAAUAACACUGUCUUCCAGAAGCAGGAUAUAACCGCGCGAUACUGGGAUAACCAAUCCAUACCCAAGAUAACAUCGAAUGCCCCCAAGGAAAUCACCACCAGAUUGGCCGAAAAAAACUCAUCAGCAAGAAUGACGAAACACCCCUGACAAACUAAACAGCUACUAAUGGAGCCAUUAGCGGAACUGACCAAAAUUGGGUGACCCAACCUCUGCACCGAAAGACCAGCCCGCGACACAAAAUCCUCCGAAACAAACGAAUAGCUAGCGCCAUAGUCAAAAAGAGCAUGGGCUGCAAAUGAAUCAACUGAAAUCGUACCUGUCACCACGUCUCCUUGCUCCCUGCCAUCCGUAGCGGGUAGCACAUAAGCUCUAGAAAUACCCGCGGAAGAGGAAGCUCUCGGAGUGAAAUUAACAGAAGAACCCCACUGAGCCACCGGAGGAGGCUGGCGUGGAGCUCCAAACUGAGUCAGCACAGGUGUAGACGGUGCAGGAGUAGGCACAGCCUGAUACUGAGGAAAACCUUGCAUCGGCACGAACUGAGAAGUCCCAGGCACAAAAAGCUGCUGUGGAGGAAGAGGAACUGAAAACUGCUACUCAGCACUCGACAUCAUAUUGAUAGUGCCCUGAGAAGAGGAGGAAGUUACUGGCUCCCAUCUGAGCUUCCCAUUGGGAUUCCUCCUACACACCACAUCUUUGUGGUCCUGACUGCAGAUAGAACACCUGCCACUCCACUGGCACUCUGCACGGCGAUGCGCAUCUCCACAGCGGAAACACACCAGCCCCAGCCCGGGCUUAGGAACGGCCCGAAACCUCUGAGUACUUCCUCCCGAAGUACCUGAGUCAGAAGAUUUGCCACGGUAAGGAUGGUGGCGCUAAUGCUGAGACUUGCCCCUCUUGUGAGCUGGACCUCCAGUGUUGCCCCUCCUCGUGUCCUGGCUACGAGGCUGAUCAACACCCGAAGACUUCUGCGACUCCAUGGUGUACUGGUGUUGCAUCUCCACACCCAGCGCCUGCUCCACCGUGGUACGGAAGUCCACCAACGGAAAGGCCCCCAGUGCAUGCCUGAUAGAAGGCUUCAGACCCUGACGGAAUUGGCUCGCCUUCUCCAUCUCAUUAUAAGCCACAUGAGGGACAAAGCGGACCAUCUUGUUGAAGCCCACCUCAUACUCUGUGACAGAGUUCUUCUCCUGCUUAUAGGACUGCAAGUCAAUCUUCAUUUUCUCCAGAAAGGUGACCGGGUAGAAUCUCCUUUCGAACUACCUGAUGAAAACAUCCCAUGAUAGGACUCCUGGUGAGGAGGAGUGCGCUGCCUGCACGCCUCUCCACCAAAUUUGCGCCUCUCCCUUCAGCAGCUGAGUGCCAAAGCGAACCCGAUCUCCAUAUGCAAUCUCAAAGACAUUCAUCUUAUCCUCCACAUAAGUCAACCAAUCUGCCGCCUCGACCGGAGUACCACUGCCAUCAAAAGAAUCCAACUUCAUGCCCAUCCACUGCAUCAGAGAAAGACCACUGACUGGAAGAGGCACCUAGGCCCCGCCACCUGGAACAGCACCCGCAGGGACAGCGCCCCCGGGCACUUCUCCACCUCCAGCACCCUGAGCAGCACCCGCAGGGGCGACAGGAAUGGCUUGCCUCAGAAGGGCCAACUCCUGCUGCAUGGCCUGCAUCGCGGCUAACAUUGCCGCCGGACUCAUCGAGUCCCCACUAGGAGCUUGCGGACUACCCCGAGCUCUACGAGGCGGCAUAGCUGCAGCCACAGGGAUGAGUACAAUAAGUAAAUGAGAUAAGCAUAGCAUCUCUCUAGAUAAUGUCCAAACUAGCACAGACAAUAACAUAAUCAUAUCAAUAACAAGACAGAAAACCCAUCCUACAUGUGCAGUGUGUCAAUUUAUUACUACUCCACUUGCUAGGACCUACAGCCUAUUCCUCUGAUACCAACUAUAACACCCCACUGGUCGCACAGAAUGGAUAAUACCAUAAACCUCAUCCACUAAACUUACUCAACACAAGAGAUGUAAUAAAGAAAGAAUAUAAAGCAAGAAAAAAAAUCCGGCAGCACCUCCUUUGAAAACUAGCAUAACAAGGAGGGGAAACAUGAAGCUCAUACAAGAUAUAAAGACAUAUAAUUCACAUAGUAGAAACUGUAAUGCAAAAGUGGUAAAACCUAAUUAUGACCCAACUGAAGUAAAACAAAUGGGAUAAGAAACUCAGCCCACCCCAAAAUAAACGCUCAACCAAGAACAAAGCAAUUCACUAGACUUGUCCAACUCUGAUUAUCAACAUUAUUAAAUGGUGGUUCCUUUAUUAAAAGUGUAGUGGCCGUGCUGCUACAUCCCCUUUAUUCCCCAAAGCAGAAAUUAGGUGCCUGCAUCAAACAAUGCAAGAUGUGAGAUAACACAUCUCAGCAAGUAAACAUAACAACAACAAGUAGGCCAUUGUAAAUCAACUGUGCUUACACAACCACGUGUUCAGGACUUCUUUCUUUUCUUUUGAACAGUAAAUUGCAGCAAGUAUACAAGAAACUAAAAACUCAACGCCAAGUGGAAUCACCAUGCACAAGUCCAAAUUAUCCACAUCCACAUAAUAGAUUCAACACCUCUCCCAUGAAUGCACAUGGCUACAAAUGCAAUAAUGACUUCUGCCUCCAUAUCUCUAAGGAUAUGAAGCUGCACCAUACCCCUUCUCGAGCAACAUAUGAUGCUCAAUGUACCGGUACGGUCGGACCAUAAGAUUGCGACGAAACUUCAAUGCAAUGGAUGAUGAGUGCAUUAUGCAUGACAACAUCAUAAGUUCUUCCCAAAUAAAAAUAUGCUAGGCAUUUACUUCCAACCAUUCCACAUAAUAACCACUUGAGUAACAUAAUCAAACCUCGAACUCAACAUAUGAAAUCCAUGAAACAUGAACAUUUUCAAAUGAUGGUACUCAAAAGAAAAUAUGAAAUUGAACAUGAUAGCACAACAUAAACAAGUAUAAGACUCCUCAUCUGACAGACGGAAUAACCAUCACAGUUUUACUUGCCUUCACCGAAGUUUGGGCAAAAUCCCUAAGAACGAUCUGGAAGUCCACCACCUGUUUUUGACACCCAACUUAGUGCACCAAAUUCACAUAAAAAAACUCAAAGACAACACCGCACCUACGCGCAGUCUCAACCCCGCCGCGGUAACAAUUCUCCCCUCACUAACCAAACUGCAGCGGCGCUGCUUAACAAUUCCAUAACUUAAAAAUUAGGACAGCAGUGGUGUCAAACAAAAACUUCAGAGACAACUACAUAAAAUUUCCCACAAGUUUUGUAUACAACUCAUGAUUAAAUUCUACUAUCUAAUUACCUCUAAACGGUCCACAAAAUAAACCCUGCAAUCUGUUUUUUUCUGAUUUGGGCAGCGACAUACUCGGAUUCAAACAGCGAUAACUUUUAAAAUAUAAUUCCGAUUUGAGCGCAUAAGUACUUGUUGGAAAGAUAAGAAAAAGCCCUACAUGAUUCUCAUACUGAUUAACACUAAUUACUCCCGAAAAUCCCCAGAAACUGCUAAUACUUCUGCUGUUCAUCACUCUGAAAAAUCUGUUUUUUUGGACAGCCACACACCCGGAUUCAAACGAUGAUAACUUUUAAUUUAUAACUCCAAAUUGAGCGCAUAAAUACUCGUUGGAAAGGUAAAACAAAGUUCUACAAGAUCCCCAAAUUGAUCCCCAUUAAUUCUUCACGAAAAAACCCUAAAAACUGCUAGAACGUCCGCUGUUCACCCACCACGUAAAAUUCUGGACAGCCCCCGUCUAUCUAAUCGCAAACGCAACAUCUAAUCAAUUGAAUCGCAGCGCAAAUGAACAAGGGAUGAACACAAAAAUCACCUUGGGUUCUCCCCCUUUCCUUCCUCCCUUCUUCCCUCCACCAAAACGGUUGGAGAAUCGCACCACGAGACGACGAUCCGAGCGGCAAGGAUUGGCACCUUGGGAGGAGGGGAUUGAGGGGGGGGGCUAGGGUUUGGUGGCUGCAAAAAUUGAGAGAGAAGGAGAUGGGCAGGGGGGGCGGCGGCCAAGGGGAGAAGGAGAAG
rnacentral:lncRNA from 1 species